AACACAGAACAAUCUUUAAAGAUUUACAUAUAUUUAAUACCUAACCUCAAAAACAGUAAAUUCUAACCUCAAAAUGCAUUUUUUCAAAGUUUUACUUGCACUUCUCUCUGUUUUUGCUGUAUUUCAACAUGCUUUGAUGAAACCCCAUGGAGGUACCCUUAUCGACAUUUCAUCCCUUAUCAAAGAUCCUGAGCUUCUUAACAAUAUUAACAUCUUAACCUCAGACGAUUGUGAUUGCAACGAUUGCAACAACUGCAACAACUGUAAUUGUUGUUAAAAGCGAUAAAAAUGUAUAAUACCCAAGUUAUCUCCUUAAUAUUCUGUAAAUGUUGUAAAUACAAGUUGUAAAUGCGUGCAAUAUAAUGUAACAUAGUGUAAUGCUUUGUAUGUCACGAUUAUAAAUGACCAUUGGUCGAGGAAUGCCAACAA